rnacentral:rRNA from 1 species
CAGUCGUACCGACGAGAAAUCAACUUAUCGUGUGCGAACUUGUGGGCGUGCGUGAGUUUCGGCCUCGCUGUUUGCAUGUUUGUGCGCUUUGGGAGUACUUUUUCGUAUGGUAGGCCAACGUCAGUUUCGAUUAUCAUAAAAUGACCGGCGGAAUGUAGCUUCGAUUUCGGUUGAAGUGUUAUAGCCUCUGGUAGAUGUGGUGAUUGGGACUGAGGAUUGCAACGAAUAUCCUUUGGGCUAUCCGUCUGACCUCUGAAAGUUGCUCAGGUGCCGAAAGCGUGCUUACGGUCAUCUAAGAUAACGUUCAACAGGCUAGAACGUGAUUACAUUCGUUAAGGACGUUGGCGUAAUGGCUUUAAACGA